rnacentral:rRNA from 1 species
ACACGACUACAUUAGACUACCCCCGUAGUCCUAGGCGUAAAUGAUGCGAGUUAAGUGGUGGGGGCAUCUACGAGAUGGCCCUGUGCUGUAGGGUAGCCGUUAAACUCGCUGCCGUGGGAGUACGGUCGCAAGGCUGAAACUUAAAGGAAUUGGCGGGGAGCACCACAAGAGGUGGAGGCUGCGGUUCAAUUGGACUCAACGCCGGAAAACUCAUCGGGAGCGACAGCAGUAUGAUUGCCAGGUUGAUGACCUUGCUUGACAAGCUG